rnacentral:rRNA from 1 species
AUUGAACGCUGGCGGAAUGCUUUACACAUGCAAGUCGAACGGCAGCACGGACUUCGGUCUGGUGGCGAGUGGCGAACGGGUGAGUAAUGUAUCGGAACGUGCCCAGUCGUGGGGGAUAACGUAGUGAAAAUUACGCUAAUACCGCAUACGAUCUACGGAUGAAAGCGGGGGAUCGCAAGACCUCGCGCGAUUGGAGCGGCCGAUAUCAGAUUAGGUAGUUGGUGGGGUAAAGGCCCACCAAGCCAACGAUCUGUAGCUGGUCUGAGUGGACGACCAGCCACACUGGAACUGAGACACGGUCCAGACUCCUACGGGAGGCAGCAGUGGGGAAUUUUGGACAAUGGGCGAAAGCCUGAUCCAGCCAUUCCGCGUGCAGGAUGAAGGCCCUCGGGUUGUAAACUGCUUUUGUACAGAACGAAAAGGUUUCUACUAAUACUAGGAGCUCAUGACGGUACUGUAAGAAUAAGCACCGGCUAACUACGUGCCAGCAGCCGCCGUAA